CCAUGGAGGGGGAGCAAGCGUGAGCUGGCACCCAACACCCCUUUCUCCACAUGGAGGGUGGUCACAUGUUCUCCACCUGUUCCCCUAGAUGGUGAGACUUCUGUUGGGCUUGCUUUUCCUGGGCCAGUGUCCAUCAGCCAGGUGCUCAGCCAUCGGUGCGCUGAAGCUCCAGCCCUUCCUGGUGCCCUGAUCUCCUGCACUGAGCUGUGAUGAGUACAUCCGGGUUCCACUGGAUGCAUGUGCGGGAAGGGGGGUGCCCUGGGUUGGGUCAGUGAUGAGAACCUUAUAUUGUCCUGAAGAGAGGUGAUGACUUAAAAAUCAUGCUCAAUAGGAUUACGCUGAGGCCCAGCCUGGGGGAGAAUUUUGGAAAAGGAUGCUGGGAUCCCAGGGUCCCCAACAGGGCCACUGUAUUUUGGACCUGGGACCUGGUGGCUCUGAAGGGCAUCUGGAGGUGGCCCAACCUGUCUCUGCACUCUAGUUUCCCUGUGUGGGCUUGGUGUCGGUGCUCCAGUUCCCUGGGGGCAGGGAAUGUUGAUGGCUCCUUCCUGAGUCCCUGUUCUCGCCUUUGUCUUUCAGUGAGCUCUUUCACCUAGGAGGGCCCCUUGGCAUUGACUGGCAUAGAUGGUGACCCUGAAGAAAGACUUCAGUUGGGCCUGAAGGCCCCGGGCCAGUGUCCAUCAUCCAGGUGCUCAGCUCCCAGUGCACUGAAGCUCAGACCCUUCCUGGUUCCCUGGUCUCUUGCACUGAGCUCUGAUGGUGAGACUUGAGGAAGACUUCCACUGGGCCUGCUUUUCCUGAGCCAGUGCCCAUCACCCAGGUGCUCAGUCCCUGGUGCACUGAAGCUCCAGCCCUUCCUGGCGCCCUGGUCUCCUGAACUGAGCUGUGUGAGCUCUUCUGCCAAGCGGUUCCCCUGGCAUUGACCAACAUAGAUGGUGAGCCUGGAGGAAGACUUGCGUUGGGCCCAAAGGCCCUAGACCAGUGUCUGUCAGCCAGGUUCCCAACCCCCGAUGCGCUGAAGCUCAAGCCUUUCCUGGCACCCUGGUCUCCUGCACUGAGCUGUGUGAGCUCUUCUGCCCAGGCGGGCCCCCUGGAAUUGAUGGGUAUAGAUGGUGACCCCGGAGGAAAAUUUGUGUUGGGCCCACUAUCCCUGGGCCAAUGUCAGUCAGCUAGGCACCCAGCCCCCAGUGCGCUGAAGCUCAGGACCUUCCUAGUGCCCUCGGCUCCUGCACUGAGCUCUGAUGGUAAGCCUGGAGGAAGACUUGUGUUGGGCCCACAGGCCCCAGGCCAAUGUCUGUCAGCCAGGUGCUCAGCCUCUGGUGCGCUGAAACUCUGACCCUUCCUGGCACACUGGUCUCCUGCACUGAGCUGGGUUUUCCACCUAGGAGGUCCACCUGGCAUUGACUGACAUAGAUGGUGAGACUUCUGUCGGCCUCGCUUUUCCUGGGCCAGUGUCCAUCAGCCAGGUGCUCAGCCCCAGUGCACUGAAGCUCCAGCCCUUCCUGGCGCCCUGGACUGAGCUGUGUGAGCUCUUCUGCCAAGGGGGUCCUCCUGGCAUUGACCAACAUAGGUGGUGAGCCUGGAGGAAGACUUGCAUUGGGCCCAAUGGCCCUGGACCAGUGUCUGUCAGCCAGGUUCCCAGCCCCCGAUGCGCUGAAGCUCAAGCCUUUCCUGGCACCCUGGUCUCCUGCACUGAGCUGUGUGAGCUCUUCGGCCCAAGUGGUCCCCCCGGCCUUAAGCGGCAUAGAUGGUGAGCCUGGAGGAAGACUCGUGUUGGGCCCACAGGCCCCAGGCCAGUGUACGUCAGCCAGGUGCUCAGCCCAUGGUGUGCUGAAGCUCUGACCCUUCCUGACUCCGUGGUCUCCUGCACUGAGCUGUGAUGACCAUAUCCAGUGAGCUCUUCCAAACAGGUGGGCUCCCUAGCAUUGACCGACAGAGUGAGCUCUGCCACCCAGGACAUCCCCCUGGCAUUGACUGGCAUAGUGAGCUUUUCCACCCAGGUGGGCCCCCUGGCAUUGACCGACAUAGAUGAUGAGACUGGAGGAAGACUUCCAUUGGGCCCACUUUUCCUGGGCCAGUGUCCAUCAGCCAGGUGCUCAGCCCCUGGUGUACUGAAGCUCCAGCCUUUCCUGGUGCCCCAGUCUUCUGCACUAAGCUGUGUGAGCUCUUCCACCCAGGAGGGCCCCUUGGCAUUGACUGGCAUAGAUGGUGAGACGGGAGGAAGACUUGUGUUGGGCCUGCUGUUCCUGGGCCAGUGGCCAUCAGCCUGUUGCCCAGCCCCUGAGGCGCUGAAGCUCAGGCCCUUCCUCACACCCUGGUCUCCUGCACUAGCUGUGUGAGCUCUUCUGCCCAGGUGGGGCCCAUGGCCUUACACGACAUAGGAGCACGCAUUUCUUGAAGUCCUGCAAAGGUGAUGGUGGUCCAGACAGGAGAGGGUUCCUUCAGCCCAACAUAGCGCAGCUCCCAGCUGAAACUCGGAAGGCUGGUCAGGCCUCGAGGACUGCCCAGGCCACAUGAGGGUUUGGUGGCCGGGAGGGCCAAUGAUGCUCUGCGUCUGUGUUGGAUCAGUGUUCUUCAUGGAUUCCAUCACAUGGUGAGCCUUGAGGAAGACUUGUAUUGGGCCCCCACAGGCCCCAGGCCAGUGUCCGUCAGCCUGGUGCUCACCCCCAGUGUGCUGAAGCUCAGACCCUCCGUGGCACCCUGGUCUCCUGCACUGAGCUGUGUGAACUUUUCCUCCCAGAUGGGCCCCCUGGCAUUGACUGGCAUAGAUGGUGAGACCGGAGGAAGACUUGCAUUGGGCCUGUUGUUCCUGGGCCAGUGGCCAUCAGCCUGUUGCCCAGCCCCUGAUGCGCUGAAGCUCGGGCCCUUCCUCGCGCCCUGGUCUCCUGCACUGAGCUGUGUGAGCUCUUCUGCCCAGGUGAGGCCCAUGGCCUUAAGCGGCAUAGGAGCAUGCAUUUCGUGAAGCCCUGCAAAGGUGAUGGUGGUCCCGGCAGGAAAGGGUUCCUUCAGCCCAACAUAGAGCAGCUCCCAGCUGAAACUCAGCGGGCUGGUCAGGCCUCGAGGACUGCCCAGGCCACAUGAGAUGGUGAGUCUGGAGGAAGACUUGUGUUGGACCCCCACAGGCCCCAGGCCAGUGUCCAUCAGCCUGGUGCUAAUCCCCCAGUGCUCUGGAGUUUGGACCCUCCCUGGCACCCUGGUCUCCUGCACUGAGCUUGAGCUCUUCCACCCGGGCGGGCCCCCGGCAUUGACUGGCAUAGGUGGUGAGCCCGGAGGAGGACUUGCGUUCGGCCCGCUGGUCCCAGUGUGUCCGGAAUUGGUGGGUUCUUGGUCUCACUGACUUCAAGAAUGAAGCUGCGGACCCUCGCUAUGAUGAUAUGGAAGAAAAGCACUCUUUGGCCUGUUGUGACUGGGACAGUUGACAGCACCCAGGUGUCCUUUAAUGAAAAUGCUCUUGACACCAAUGCAUCCUAGCAUCACAGCUUCAGGAAGCCUUCUCAAGUGUGCAUGGGGAGUACUAUGUCUUUCAUCAAUAAUGAAAUCUUCUGAUUUGUAAGACAUGCUGCCAAGAGAUGUGCCAUUCUAUUAUAAAAGAUCAGUAGCUUCCUUUACCGACGUGUAUAUUCUAUCUAGAACAUUGAGCUAUGGAAGACUCCCACCUAAGGGAAUUAGUUUUACACCUUCAGAUAAAGACUGCUGAGAAGAGCACCCUCUGGUGUUGUCACAGAGGCAAGUGCUACCGCACAGGCAUGCUGCAGUGAAUUUAACUGAUCCUCUGUCCCUGCAACCGUUGUUUAAGGAUGCUAUUCUGAAAAGACUGUGGAGGAAGAAAACCCUUUACCCUGUUGUUCAGGGAGAAACUGACACCACUCAACUGCCUGGCACUGAAAAUGUGGCAUCCAGUCCACUUUACCAUCAGUGUUUAAGGAAACCAUCUCUGAUAAGGAUGACUGAGGAAGAGUACUCUUUGGCUUGUUGACACCAGCACAGCUGACACACCCAGAUAUCUGUUUGGUCUCCUGUGAACUUUCAACCAGGAUUUAAGGAUGCCACUCUGGUUAAAAGCUGAAACAACUUCAAGGAAACUUCAGGGAAAAGAGAAGGCCUGGAAUCUGAUCCUCCACUUCAGAGAACAGGGGUUGGAAUGCAGUGGCACCAUUUCGGCUCACUGCAACUUCUGCCUCCCGGGUUCAAACGAUUCUCCUACCUCAGCCUCCCAAGUAGCUGGGACUACAGAUGCACGCCACCACAACUGGCUAAUUUUUUUGUAUUUUUAGUAGAGAGGGGGUUUCACCACGUUGGCCAGGUUGGUCUCGAUCUCUUGACGUCGUGAUUCGCCCGCCUCAGCCUCCCAAAGUGCUGGGAUUACAGGCGUGAGCCACUGUGCCUGGCCUGUAGUGUUUAAUAUGUUAAACUGAAUUUUUCAGGUAUAUAGAUAAAAAUUAGUCAAAAAACACUGUAAUUAGAUAUGAACAUUCAAAAAGUUUGGUUUAUUGAUACAGGUGUUCUACUGAGAAAGACAUUUUUAUAAGAUUUCUUGUGAUAAAUGUGUCCCUGAAAAUACUCAAUCUUUUAAAUUUUGCACUUAAAAACCUCCUACGCAAAAACAGUUUGGUGCAGACUACUUAAUACUUAUGCAACUUUGUAAUUAGUGUUAACAAACAUAAUUAAUAAUCAAAAUAAGAGUACUAGUGUACAGAAAGCAUCUCUAAUUUCCAAUAUACAAUAGUAACUAUAGAACAAUGCAAAAACAAAAACAAAAAAACCAGUAACGAACAGGGAACAGUAACAGUAGCAUAUUAGAAAACAGGGAUAAGGAAAGGUCACAACUGCUAUAAUGCAGACUUGAGCAAAAAGAGGAGGGGGCAUAAAGACUGGAUAAAGCCACACAAUAAGCACCUCUAAGAUGGAGCACGUGGCCAAAAGAGCAGAUGAGCACAUUCCUCAUGUACCACAUCCCCCGCAGCUGGCUGCAUUCCACUGUGCCAGCACUCUACAUUCAGUUACUGGUACUCUCUGGUGCACACUUACUGGAGAACUGUGUACAAUAAAGUCAAUGCAGCUUCCACAUUAUACUGACACACUAUAUAUACAGACAACAUUUACCUAUUUUCCCAUAGUGUGUGAACUAAUUCAUGAAACAGAAUUAUACACUCUGAAGCAACAAAGUUGUGUAAAGUGACGAAAAUAAUUUUAUUGUGGAAACAGAGUAGAGGUUAUAACACAAUGCCACUUCACUAAUUCUUUCAAACUUGAUUCAAAUGAUGUUAGUGAAAGUUUUAGAGGCAAAUGCCUCUAAAAUUCUCUGACUUGUAUGUCAUAAAAAAAAAGCUUUCUCUCUUAAAAUACAAUUGCCUCUGGGUGUGUGUAGGGGUGAGAGUGGAGGGGCGCUAAGCCCUGGUAGUCAUUCAAAAAUUUGAUUACUUUGUUACUAAUUACCUUCACUGAAGAAAAUAACUUGGAGUUUUAGUAUUAGCGACAAGGUAAUCGAAUUCUGAAUUUUGGACGUAGGACCAUUUAGAAAACAAAAGACCUGAGUGAAGACUGUCAUUGGUAGGUCAUGAUCCUUGGCAGCAUGACUGUACCAAAUGUCCGGAAGGAGAGUGAGAAGCAUAUAUCUGAAGGAAACGUAGAAUUCUCACAUAACUAUCACAAAAUUUUGUCUUGCCUUCAAAAAUGGAAAAAACCCACUGUUUCCUCUUUCUGCUUCUUUCAUCACAUCAUCCUGAGGUUCCAGAACUCAUGCCAGAUACUUAGUCCAGUUAUUCUAUAACUUAAAUAGAUGUUGUGGCCUAGUUUUGGAGAUUCACUACCACUUAAUACAUUUUUCCUAAGAAUUUUAAAAAGUUCAAAUCAAUCUAUUAACAAAUGAACUUUUGGCAUAUGAUCUGCUUCUAAUUAGCAAUGAUUAGACCUGUAAAAUGUAGUUAUUAUUCCUGUCCGUUACCACAAUAAAAAAUUGGUUCUACGAUAUCAAAAUGUCUUUAUGUCACAGAAGAAAAAACAAAUAAAAACUAAUACAUUUAAAUCUCCCACAUGGUUUUCAGGCAACAAUUCUCAAUUGAAAAUAAAACAUCUUACCUUUAAAAUCAA
rnacentral:lncRNA from 1 species